GUGCUCGCUUUGGCAGCACAUACACUAAAACUGGAACGAUACAGAGACUAGCAUGACCCCUGCGCAAGGAUGACACGCUAAUUUGUGAAGUGUUCCAUUUUUUU
ensembl:snRNA U6 U6 spliceosomal RNA